AUUCAUACAGACGUCAUAAGUGUCGCCGAUGUAUAUCGGCGAGCGAUGAGAGGAAAAUGGGUGAAAGACCCAUGCUGUCCCGCAGCUGUAAUCGGGGAAUUUGUUUCCAUGGGAAACGCUGGAAUCGCUGUUUCUUAUGAAAGUGCUGAAUGCGUCGGCACUUCCUGACAUGUCACUGGGGAAAAUCCGGGAAGACGGAAACAAACGAUGAUCCGAGAGCCAGAAAGCCUGCUUAUGAUAAGAUUCAUUG
rnacentral:ncRNA from 2 species